GCCGAAGUGGCGGAAUUGGCAGACGCAGCAGACUCAAAAUCUGCCGUAUGCAAAUACGUGCCGGUUCGAGUCCGGCCUUCGGCA
rfam:Anaerovibrio lipolyticus strain 5S contig00022, whole genome shotgun sequence.